CCUACGGGUGGCAGCAGUGAGGAAUAUUGGUCAUUGGGCGGAAGCCUGAACCAGCCAAGUAGCGUGCGUGAUGAAGGCCCUACGGGUCGUAACCCGCUUUUGCACGGGGCUAACACCCUCCACUUGUGGAGGUCUGCAGGUACCGUGCGAAUACGGGCCGGCUAAUUCCGUGCCAGCAGCCGCGGUAAUCCGGAAGUCCCGGGCGUUAUCCUGAUUCAUUGUGCUUAAAGGGAGCGUAGGCGGGCGUUCAAGUCAGCUGUAAAAUCGCGCGGCUCAACCGCGCCCCGCAGUUGAAACUGGACGCCUUGAGUGCACAACAGGCAGGCGGAAUUCGUGGUGUAGCGGUGAAAUGCAUAGAUAUCACGAGGAACCCCGAUUGCGAAGGCAGCCUGCCGGGGUGCGACUGACGCUGAGGCUCGAAGGUGCGGGUAUCAAACAGGAUUAGAGACCCGAGUAGUC
rnacentral:rRNA from 1 species